UGGGGAAUAUUGCACAAUGGGCGCAAGCCUGAUGCAGCAACGCCGCGUGAGGGAUGACGCCUGCCGGUUGGUUGAAUAACCUCUUUUUAGUAGGGGAAGAAGCGAAAGUGACGGUACCUGCAGAAAAAGCACCGGCUAACUACGUGCCAGCAGCCGCGGUAAUACGUAGGGUGCGAGCGUUGUCCGGAAUUAUUGGGCGUAAAGAGCUCGUAGGCGGUCUGUCGCGUCUGCUGUGAAAACCCGAGGCUCAACCUCGGGCCUGCAGUGGGUACGGGCAGACUAGAGUGCGGUAGGGGAGAAUGGAAUUCCUGGUGUAGCGGUGGAAUGCGCAGAUAUCAGGAGGAACACCGAUGGCGAAGGCAGUUCUCUGGCGUCAGCAUGACGCUGAGGAGCGAAAGCGUGGGGAGCGAACAGGAUUAGAUACCCUGGUAGUCCACGCCGUAAACGUUGGGCGCUAGAUGUGGGGACCAUUCCACGGUUUCCGUGUCGCAGCUAACGCAUUAAGCGCCCCGCCUGGGGAGUACGGCCGCAAGGCUAAAACUUAAAUGAAUUGACGGGGUCAUAGCUGUUUCCU
rnacentral:rRNA from 1 species